rnacentral:misc_RNA from 1 species
CAAGGCGAGCAAGUCCUUGCCUGUUUCAGAGGAUAUCGAGAUCGAGGUGGCGGAGGUCCUUUAUGGUUUGACGAGGCAGUUUCAGUCGAUGCCGAAUCAAGAUUUCCAUGCGCCUGAUUCAAAGGAUACAAACGGUCCAAGCACAGAAGCCUCACCGGCCUCGAUCUCCCAUCAGUCAUCAUCGGUUACCAUUCCAAUUCCUCCUCCCAAUAUGAGCUCCAACACCGCCUUGACAUCAGCUGUCGCUCCUAAGAGGAAACGGGUACGCCAGAG